UACGUAGGGUGCAAGCGUUGUCCGGAAUUAUUGGGCGUAAAGAGCUCGUAGGCGGUUUGUCGCGUCGGCUGUGAAAUCCCGAGGCUCAACCUCGGGCCUGCAGUCGAUACGGGCAAACUAGAGUGUGGUAGGGGAGACUGGAAUUCCUGGUGUAGCGGUGAAAUGCGCAGAUAUCAGGAGGAACACCGGUGGCGAAGGCGGGUCUCUGGGCAGUAACUGACGCUGAGGAGCGAAAGCGUGGGGAGCGAACAGG
rnacentral:rRNA from 1 species